GGGUGGUUAGCUCAGCUGGAAGAGCGCCUGCUUGACGUGCAGGAGGUCGCAGGUUCAAGUCCUGCACCACCCACCA
rnacentral:tRNA from 1 species